rnacentral:rRNA from 1 species
UCGACUGUUUACCAAAAACAUAGCCCUAGAAAUUAUCUAAGGUGUAACCUGCCCAAUGAUUUAAAAUUAAAAAUGAAUAAAAAUCAUUUAAUAAAAUUAAAAGGACGCGGUAACCUUGACCGUGAUAAUGUAGCAUAAUCAUUCGCCAUUUAAUUGAUGCAUAGUAUGAAUGGUUGAACGAAUAUUCCACUGUCUUAAAAAGAAAUAACAAAAAAUUAGAAUAAUAGUAAAGAUACUAUUUAAAAUUGUAAGACGAAAAGACCCUAUAGAGCUUAACUAUAAUUUUUCUAUUAAAUUUUUAAUAAUUAGAAAGAUUGGUAGUUUAGUUGGGGCGACUGUCUUUUAAAAUAAACAAAGACAAGCAAAUAUUAAUAAUAAAAUUUAUUGUAUAAUAAAUAAAUUUAACAAUUACAAAAGUAGGCUAUAAUGACCCGUUAUUAUUUAAUAAUAAAAAUAACGAUCAAUAAAUAAAAGCUACCUUAGGGAUAACAGGAUAAUUUUAUUCUAGAGAUCUAAUCGAAAAUAAAGUUUGUCACCUCUAUGUUGAAUUAAGAUAUCCUGACGAUGCAGAAGUUGUCAAAGGUAGGUCUGUUCGACCUUUAAAAUCUUACAUGAUUUGAGUUCAUUCCGU